rnacentral:sRNA from 2 species
AGCCGACAAACUCAACUUCCUCGCUUCUGCGAAAUAUGGAAGCACAGAGUUUUCUUGCUAGGGGCUGGAUGCCAUCCGAAUUGCAUCCGCCCACCUCCACGCCAGGGCAUCAAGAUUUAACACCUGCCGGACGGGAGGUCUGACAUAGUUCCUCAAAAAUGGGCUGGAUUGGUUCAGGCACACAAUGAAAGAUCUUCGACGGCUAGGGAGAGGUUUUGGCCUUAUUGCUACCCUCUAUUCAGAAGCCAUCUAAUGAGAUCGACAUUUUAAUUGAGUUACGGAAUCCCCCCCGAGGCUUGUUAUUGUUCUUUUUACGCCACCCUUCCCUCUCAAGCUCAAAUCCAUGCUUUACCUAUUACCUAUCUACUAAUCAGUUCCCCUGGCUCCAGAAAAUAGAAAAGGUAUUAGAGAUAUCACUAACAGGAACCGAAAAAACAAUUAAAAUUAAAAUUAAAAACAACUUGAUAAUUAUUGACUCCUCAGAGUCAGAGUUUAGAUAUCCCGCAGAGGCAUCUAUUAUUUUAGCUACUAAUUGAUGGUUAAUUGUAACUAACUCGCAGCUCAAGUAAUUGUAGUCACGUGGCGUUCUAGCAAUCACACG